AUCCCGAAAUGCACGGACGGUGUUCGUGGGGGAACAGGAAGUUCACGACAGGCACGCUACAUUCUUCAGAAUAAAAAAAAGCGCCAGAACUGUGCAGUCAAUAAGGUAUGAGGCUAGUAACAUCGACAGUGAGGACAAACCCAGCCCUCCUCUCUCCUUCCACACCGAGUCCAAACCUACAGUCACUGGGUCCUGAUUGUGACAGUGGAGCCCAGUUUGCACUGCAGGAUCCAGAGAUGGCAUCAGUGAAGCUGGAAGACUGGAGCUGAAUGUCAUCAUUAAAGAUGAAGAAGAAGAGGAGGAGAAGAUUGGGAAUUCUGUUUCUCAUGGAAAGAGCAGGUUCUAUCUAUCUACUUUUGUUGUUUGUUCCAACUUCCCACUGUGUAUGAAAAGUUGCAGUAGAACUGUUUCAUGAUGAACUGUUUCAAUGAGAAGGUAGAAGUGCCCAUUAUUUAUAUUCUAACUAUAGAAUUAGAAUAAUCAUAUUUCCAUGAUUCCAAAAGUUCACCUUGGUGUUUUGAUCUAAAUUGCAACAUUUGAUAUGAUAUUUUGGCCACAUCGCCUAGCCCUGUCAGAGCAAAAACCAGGCCAGGUCGAAGGAAUUGUCCGUAGAGGUCCAUGGAAGGAAAAAUUCACAAGCUGGUAAAAUGGCGGCUCCCACUCAGUCUGCGUCAACGGACUUCAGUGCAGACGGUGUGGGUGCAGCAGAGACCAUUUUAAGGUCACACUACUGUUUUGAAGCUAAAUGUAAUGAUUAUCAGUUUCUACAUGUCUAGAAUAUUGACACAUUCAGUUUGUCUAUGUAUUUCUAUAUGGAAAUACAAUUGUUUUUUGAUUGGAAUAUUCCCGUGAAGAAGGUUAAGGAAAAUAGUACAUAGUGCUGCCAAAAACAAACUGUAACCUUGUGCUAAAAUGGUUUUUGAGUCUUGUAUGCAUUUAUCUACUACAGGUUAAGUAUUAGCUCAAAUGUAUUAUGAAACUCCUGCACAUAAAUAUAAACAGUACCAGCACACAAAAUGAGUAUCGGCAACUAUUUCAGUCCAAGUCAAGCACUGAAUUAGAUAAUUGACCAAGAAAAAAAUCUAAUAUAUUUAAUAGUGAAUAAAGAAAGUGCCAGGACUUUGAAGACGCAACUUUUGUGUCCGCUUCUCCUCUAGUACUUGCCGACUCUGGUAUAAGUCGCUCUGGAUUAAGAGCGUCUGCUAAAUGACUUAAAUGUAAAUGUAAAUGUAUGAGGCCGGUAACCUCAACAGUGAGGACAAAUGCAGGCCUCUCUCCUUCCACAUUGACUCCAAACCUACAGUCACUGGGUCCUGAUUGUGACAGUGGAACCCAGUUUGCACUGCAGGAAUCAGAGAUGGCAUCAGUGAAGCUGGAAGACUGCAGUCAAACACUGGAGCUGAAUGUCAACAUUAAAGAUGAAGAGGAGGAGGAGAUUGGGAAAUGUGUUUCUCAUGGAGACCAUGUUGAGACAUUCUCUACAUCCAGAGAGCAUCAGCAGGAAGAUCACAGAGCAAAGAUGUCUCACCACUGCCCACAUUGUGAGGAGAUUUUCCCAUUUCUACCCAAGCUAAAAAUACACCUAAAAAUACACACAGGAGAAAAACUUUACUCUUGCUCUGAAUGUGGAAAAUGCUUCAAAACAUCAGCAUCACUAAAACAUCAUCAGAAAACAAACACAGGAGAGAAGCCUUACUCCUGCUCUGAAUGUUGGGUGAGUUUCUCUCAACUGGGCCACUUAAAAAGACAUGAACAUAUACACACAGGAGAGAAGCCUUACUCCUGCUCUGACUGUGGAAAUAGGUUCUCUCUAAUGGGUACCUUAAAACAGCAUGAACGUAUACACACAGGAGAGAAGCCUUACUCAUGUUCUGAAUGUGGAAAAUGCUUCAAAUCAUCAUCAUCACUAAAAGUUCAUCAGAGAACACACACAGGAGAGAAGCCUUACUCCUGCUCUGACUGUGGAAAGAGUUUCUUUCACCUGGGUACCUUAAAACAACAUGAAUGUAUCCACAAAAGAGAGAAGCCUUACUCCUUUUCUGACUGUGGGGCAAGUUUCUCUCGUCCGGACACCUUAGAAUGACCUGAACAUAUACACACAGGAGAUAAGUGUUACUCCUGCUCUGACUGUGGAAAGUGUUUCUCUUGAAUGUGCCAUUUCAAAAGACACCAAGGGAAACACGAGUGGAUCCUUACCACUGAUCUGACUAUAGAAAAUGUUAAAACACCAGCUGAGCUUAAAGGUCAUUAGAGAAAAGACAAAAGAGAUAAGCCUUACUUCUGCUCUCAAUGUGGCAAGAGUUUUUCCCAAUUGGGCAAUGUAAAAACACCCCAACGGAUACACACUUCAGAGAAGCCUUAUCACUGCACUGACUGUGGGAAGAGGUUCUACAGAUUGGGUCAUUUAAAAAGACACAAAUGUAUACAUAAAGGACAGGCCUCAUCAGUUCUCUCAGACCAGCUAAGAUUAGACACUCCACUUAAUUAUCAUGUCAUUAAAUAAUUGGCAACGUUGAAUUGGAUCAAAUGAAGAAAGUGUAGAACACUAUUGUAAUCCUGUAGUUUCUCACAUUGAGAGAACAAUGCAGAGGAAAGGGAGUUUUACAGAAUGUUAGUCUCUCUUUACUGAUCAGUGUGCACCUUGUCAGUUUUGGUGUGUUUUGUUAGCUUCUACUGUAAAGAUAUUGAGAUUACCUUGAAUUUGCUUUUAGGGUUGAAUAUCCUCUGUGAGACGUCUCACAAUGGAGUCUGAUGGGUGACUGGGUGGUACUGCUUCCCUCUGCAGGUUUCUGUGGGAAUGAGCUAGUAGACACAACAUACACUGAUUUUGCAAAACAUUAAGGACACCUGCUCUUUUCAUUACAUAGAUUGACCAGGUGAACACAGGUGAAAACUAUAAUCCUUAAUGAUAUACAGUGGGGCAAAAAAAGUAUUUAGUCAGCCACCAAUUGUGCAAGUUCU